AUUCAAAUUCAAAGAAUAAAUAAUCACAGUUCUGCAGAAGUGUGAGUGCCAGGGGAGGUUUGGUGAUUUCAACACCCUCCAUCUCCAUCAAGUCAUCCCUAUUCUUUUAUGAACACCCAAGUGGCUUCUUGGUCUUAAGUAGGAGAUGGCAAAAGGCCCCCCUCCUCCCAUAACCUCUCUUGGCCCAGCAGCCCACUAUGCUCCAGCCACUCUGAACUCCUGCCACUCCCCAGACAUACCUCGUGAAAGGAGGAUGUGGCAGAACGACAACGGGCUGGUUCUGAGCCUCGGCCUCAAGAGGACACACAUGUCCACUCGCUGUCUUGGACCCCUGCCACUGCUGCCAUGAGGACAGCCUGGGCUAGCCCACCGGAGGAUGAAGGAACUGCAGAGAGAGGCCCCAUCCACCCUCACCCAGGCCCGCCUAGACCUGACAGCCCCAGUCACCUAGGGUGACCCACUGCUUCAUUUGCCCAGGAUUGAGGGGUCACCUGGGAUGUAGGUCUUUCAGUGCUAUAACUGGGGCAGUUCCAGGCAAACCAGGACGGUUGAUCACCCUACAGUUGACUCACCAGCUGAUUCAGGUGCAGGAAUAAGCCCACCUGAGUUCAGAAGAGCUAGCCAGCUGACCUGUAAAUGCUUAUUGUUUGAAACCAAUAGAGCAUGAAUUUGGGAGGCUGAAUUUGGGAAGCCAUUUGUUAGACAGCAAAAACUAACAAGGGCACCUUCUCCAUUUCUCUGUGAAGAUCUCAGAGUUGCCCUGCACAUGCAGGGGAGCCAGUAACAGAGAUUACCUUGUGAAUGGCAGCACUUGGAAUUGUACAGGGUAGAACCCUAGAUAAACUUCAAGGCCCCAGUUCAAAUGUCACCUCUUCUGUGAAGCCUUCCCAGACUUCCCUAGAUCUAGUUUACUAGAGAAAGGGAGUCUUGUGUUCUAAAAAUGAUAAGGAUAGAAUAGGAUAAUUUAAUAGUGAGUUUAGAAAUCCCACUAGGGGACUAAAGACAGAAAGGGAAUUUUAAGGGAGUUUGAGAAACUGUUGUAAGCUAAUGACCCCUCAAGAAAAGAAUCCAGUAACCUAGCAGCAAUCUACACCACCUUGAAGGAAGACCAGGUACAUCAAGUGCCAGGCACAGUCAAGCCACAAAACCUGGUAGUUAAAACACAGACAAUAGAUACAGGAUCAGAAUCUUGUUAUGUGAAGUCAGGGAGUUAAUGGUCCUUGAAGAGUAGCAUUUCUGCAUGUAACCAAGACAGGAAUAUAGGUGAAAGAUUUAAAAAAACUAGGGGAGGGACUUCUCUGGUGAUCCAGAAGUUAAGACUCUGCCUUGCAAUGCAGGGGAUAUGGGUUCAAUCCCUGGUUGAGGAACUAAAAUC
ensembl:lncRNA